rnacentral:rRNA from 1 species
UACGAAGGGGGCUAGCGUUGCUCGGAUUGACUGGGCGUAAAGGGCGCGUAGGCGGCGAUGUAAGUCAGGCGUGAAAGCCCCGGGCUCAACCUGGGAACGGCGCUUGAUACUGCGUUGCUUGAGGACGGGCGAGGAUGGUGGAAUUCCCAGUGUAGAGGUGAAAUUCGUAGAUAUUGGGAAGAACACCGGUGGCGAAGGCGGCCAUCUGGACCGUUUCUGACGCUGAGGCGCGAAAGCGUGGGGAGCAAACAGG